rnacentral:rRNA from 1 species
GUUCCUGGCUCAGGACGAACGCUGGCGGCGCGCCCAACACAUGCAAGUCGAACGAGCGAGAGAGAGCUUGCUUUCUCAAGCGAGUGGCGAACGGGUGAGUAACACGUGAGGAACCUGCCUCAAAGAGGGGGACAACAGUUGGAAACGACUGCUAAUACCGCAUAAGCCCACGACCCGGCAUCGGGUAGAGGGAAAAGGAGCAAUCCGCUUUGAGAUGGCCUCGCGUCCGAUUAGCUAGUUGGUGAGG